rnacentral:rRNA from 1 species
GACGAACGCUGGCGGCGUGCUUAACACAUGCAAGUCGAACGGCAAGGCCCUGCUUUUGUGGGGUGCUCGAGUGGCGAACGGGUGAGUAACACGUGAGUAACCUGCCCUUCACUUUGGGAUAACUUCAGGAAACUGGGGCUAAUACCGGAUAGGAGCUCCUGCUGCAUGGUGGGGGUUGGAAAGUUUCGGCGGGUGGGGUUGGACUCGCGGCUUAUCAGCUUGUUGGUGGGGUAGUGGCUUACCCAGGCUUUGACGGGUAGCCGGCCUGAGAGGGUGACCGGCGACAUGAGGACUGAGGGACGGCGCAGACGGCUACGGGGGGCAGCAGUGGGGAGUAUGGCACAAUGAGCGGAAGCCUGAGGCAGCAGCGCCGCGUGCGGGAUGACGUCCUUCGGGUUGUGAACCGCUGUCGCCUGUGACGAAGCGGUAGUGACGGUAAUGAGUAAAGAAGCACCGGCUAACUACGUG